rnacentral:rRNA from 1 species
GACGAACGCUGGCGGCGUGCCUAAUACAUGCAAGUCGAACGCACGGACCCUAAGCUUGCCUCGCUCUUGAUUGGGGAGGGGGGGUGCGUAACGCGUGGAAACCCUACCUAAAACUCUGGGAUAACUUCGGAAAACAGUAGCAAACAGCGGAUAAUAUCUUGUACCAUAUUGUUCAAAAGUGAAAGACGGUGUUGGUGUCUCUUGUAGAUGGAUCCGCGCUGCAUUAGCUGGUUGUUAAGGUAACGGCUUACCAAGGGAACGAUGCAUAGCCGACCUGAGAGGGUGAUCGGCCACACUGGAACUGAGACACGGUCCAGACUCCUACGGGAGGCAGCAGUAGGGAAUCUUCCGCAAUGGUCGAAAGUCUGACCGAGCAACGCCGCGUGAGUGAUGAAGGUCUUCGGAUCGUAAAACUCUGUUAUUAGAGAAGAACAUAUGUGUAAGUAACUGAACACAUCUUGACGGUACCUAAUCAGAAAGCCACGGCUAACUACGUG